rnacentral:rRNA from 1 species
GAUCCCAUCAGAACUCCCGAAGUUAAGCGUGUUUGGGAUAGAGUAGUACUAGGAUGAGUGACCUUAUGGGAAGUCCUUGUGUUGCACUCC